rnacentral:rRNA from 1 species
UACGGAGGGUGCAAGCGUUGUCCGGAUUUAUUGGGUUUAAAGGGUGCGUAGGUGGCUUUGUAAGUCAGUGGUGAAAUCUUAGAGCUUAACUCUAAAACUGCCAUUGAUACUGCUUAGCUUGAAUCAAGUAGAGGUGGAUGGAAUAUUACAUGUAGCGGUGAAAUGCUUAGAUAUGUAAUAGAACACCGAUUGCGAAGGCAGUUCACUAUGCUUGUAUUGACACUGAGGCACGAAAGCGUGGGGAUCAAACAGG